GACGAACGCUGGCGGUGUGCUUAACACAUGCAAGUCGAACGGAAAGGCCCUGCUUUUGUGGGGUGCUCGAGUGGCGAACGGGUGAGUAACACGUGAGUAACCUGCUCUUGACUUUGGGAUAACUUCAGGAAACUGGGGCUAAUACCGGAUAGGAGCUCCUGCUGCAUGGUGGGGGUUGGAAAGUUUCGGCGGUUGGGGAUGGACUCGCGGCUUAUCAGCUUGUUGGUGGGGUAGUGGCUUACCAAGGCUUUGACGGGUAGCCGGCCUGAGAGGGUGACCGGCCACAUUGGGACUGAGAUACGGCCCAGACUCCUACGGGAGGCAGCAGUGGGGAAUAUUGCACAAUGGGCGGAAGCCUGAUGCAGCAACGCCGCGUGCGGGAUGACGGCCUUCGGGUUGUAAACCGCUUUCGCCUGUGACGAAGCGUGAGUGACGGUAAUGGGUAAAGAAGCACCGGCUAACUACGUG
rnacentral:rRNA from 1 species